CAAUCCUACGGGGGGCAGCAGUGAGGAAUAUUGGUCAAUGGGCAAGAGCCUGAACCAGCCAAGUCGCGUGAAGGAUGACGGCCCUACGGGUUGUAAACUUCUUUUGUCAGGGAGCAAUUGGGUCCACGCGUGGGCUUAGCGAGAGUACCUGAAGAAAAAGCAUCGGCUAACUCCGUGCCAGCAGCCGCGGUAAUACGGAGGAUGCGAGCGUUAUCCGGAUUUAUUGGGUUUAAAGGGUGCGUAGGCGGACAGUCAAGUCAGCGGUAAAAAUGCGGUGCUCAACGCCGUACAGCCGUUGAAACUGG
rnacentral:rRNA from 1 species